GCCUGGGUGGCUCACUUGGUUGAGUGUCUGACUUCAGCUCAGGUUAUUAUCUCUCGGUCUGUGAGUUCGAGCCCCGCAUCGGGCU
rnacentral:tRNA from 1 species